ensembl:lncRNA
CAUGGGGUUGCAAAGAGUCGGACACGACUGAGCGACUGAACUGAACUGUGUUGGCACUUAAUUUUAGGGGCAAAGAGAAGUCAUGACACAUUUUAAUAAUCAUGUUUGCAGUUUAGAAUUGUUCAACAGGGGUUGGGGUGGGGACUGGAGACAGAAUUUAAGCAAGAGAUGAUCUUGAUCUGUGAAUGACAGUAGGGAUGGAGAAAAGUCAGAUGGGAUGGUACUUAAAUAGAGAAUUAUCAGCAACUGCUGGUAGAGGGGAAAACCCAACAAAACUUUUCUUUCCCCAUUUCUCCUUCCAGCUGGCCCCCCAAAUGCCGUCCCAUUUCCAGUCCUUUCUUUCACUGCAUUCGACGAUGCUCCACCAAUGCUCAGCUCGGUCAUUUCGUUUUCUGGUGCACUGCUCUUAGAGGUUUACAGUGGCCCGGAAACUACAGUCCUACGGGACCUGGGAGGGCUGUGGGCACCAAGUAGUUUGCACACAGCCCUGCCAGCAGCGCAAAUAAAUGACCUCCCUAACACCCCAAAGCUGGUGCAUUACAAAGUGCAUAUUUCAAAUCCAGCUUUAGGGAUUUUUCAAUAACACUUCAUUGCUGCUUCCCGAUGUUAAACAAGAGAAAGUUAAAACAACAACAACAAAAAAACAGCAUUACCCAAAUACAAUGUCCUGAGCAAAGCAACGGAAACAACCAGAGACACCAGACAGCCUGUCAGGUGUUUGUCUAGGGGUACCAGUGUUGCAAGUCCGAGGCCAGUCCCAGAGAAUGUGAAGUGCGCAUGUGCUGAAGGGCCUAGGCUCGCCCCAUCGCAGGGGCGGAGGAAGGACAGUGCGCAUGUGUUGAAGGUCUGAGGUCCGCCCCGGAAGAGGUGGGGAAGGGGCCUAAAAGCAGAGGUUUGGUGCUAUCCGUUAGCCUAAACAGCCCAUGUUCUGUUAGCGGAACCCAUGCCAUGGACGAUCCCUUCAUUACACCUAGGACCACUGCCUUACGGCUUCUCCGUAAGCAUUACAUCUUCGGAUUCCCCGAGGGCCAAAGAGAACACGGGACCGGAAGCGCUGACUCCCCCCGUGGUAUUUCCAGGGGCGGAGGAAGAUGGCGAAAUCCAUUGGGUAGUGGGAUCAGAAGAGGGCGGUUCACUCGGCCUGUGUCUGGGGCACUAUGGGUAUUGUAGUUCAGGGCUCCGCGGUCCUGCUUGCGGCGAGGAAUCUUGGAAGCCAGUGGGUCCAAGCUGGUCAGGGAAGCGCCUUGCACUGGGGCAUCAGGUGUGGAGUGGCUGCAGGGGCGUGUCUUCGUUCUGCUAUUUCUCUUUCGGGUGAGGCCUCACUCUGUCUCGCCUUCAGGGGUCUUCACUUCAUCCCAUACUUGAGGCUACUUUAUAAGCCCCAGUCACCUACAUAUUAUCCCUUACAAUUCCAAGCUGGUCUUGAGUUCCUCUUCUCGUCUAUCUCCCGCACAUCCAGGCCCUGGAAUUCUUCUCUGUCCUUCUUUCUCCCGUGAGUACCUUUUCUUGUUUCUGUCCUAGACAGAACCUCUCUUAACACUCUGCCCUUAACCCAUGAGGCAUGUCAACGGCUCCAAUAAAAGGCUGUCACAGCAAAUGUUUGUAAGCACGAAAAGAUCUGANNCUUCCCCUUCAGCAGCCUUACAGCUCACUUCUUUUGUGUUUCUCUUAUGAUCAUUGCAAUUGCCUUUUUUUCUGAUGCCAUUUCUGUGUAAUCUCUGCCUAAGUCUGGCGGGUAGCCUUGGUCAUAGACGGUUCCCCUUUGGUCCUAUCAGUUGGGCUCUGGCUGCCACAUUUUGAUAAUACGACAGAGGGCGCCCACGUGGGUUGACUUACAGGACAGAGAGGGAAAUGGAAAAAAACAAAACAAAACAAAACAAAAAACCCAAAAAACACAAACACACCUGAAUGAAACAAAAGACUAAAUAGCAGAACUAGGUUUUAUAGAAGUCAGGAAGAUACGUGGUGAAAGAGGGGGAAGAGAGAGCAAUCCUUUCAUUCUCAUACCUCCACAAACAAUUUAGUGCUGAGUGUGAGCAGGGCUCAGUGGGGUCCAUGAUGGGAAUGCACUGCCAGAAACCACCUAGAUCCUGGGGGAUCCAAUCCAGGAGGGCACAGACACACAAGUAAACAAGAGUGCAGAAUGAUAUUAGUGUGUGUCCUGCCUUCCCGUGUGUUC